UACAUCACAGCUGCCCUUCCAUCCUCUAAGUCCAUCCAUCCACCCAUUCCCCUUUGUAUCAAGGCCCUCACUAUUGACUGCUUCCUCCAGCCUCUCAGUCCUCCUCUUCCCUCUUUACUUCUGUUCUUCUCAUCAUCUUCCUUUCAAAUCAAUAGUUUCAUUAUUUCCAUCUUCCUGAUCUACUCUUCACAUCUCCUAUUUCUCUCAAUUGAUUUUUGCCGUUUCUUUUCUCCUCUUCCUGUCACCUCCCACCUCUCCAUUCCUCUGCCCACCAGCUCUUAUCUAUUCUAUUCUUCUCUCUAUUCUCUCUCUCUGGAUGCUGGCUCUUUCAUCAUUAGCUGUUAGACAAUAAUCACUCCACCCUUCCUUCACAUUAUUACAGCACAGCCUCUCUUCUCUCUUCUCCAUCCCUUUCUCUCCUCCUUCCAUCUCUCACAUCACUCCAUCCAUCCUUCUUUCUCUUCUUUGUUCUUUAAUACAGUACACUCUUUCAUCCAUCUCCUCUCUCACUUCAACCCUUCACCUCAUAACACCAUCAUCAUCGUCAUCAUCAUCAGCUCCCCCGCUCUUUCACCCUGCCCCAUUGGGGAAGACGCUGCAUUCAGGUCACCAUGGCAAUGACUCAAACACUGUUGCCGUGGCAGCCCUAUCAGCUAAUUGAGGCAAUUCUCUCCUCAUCCCCUUCCCCCUCCACUUUUCCAUCCCUCCGUCUUCUUCUUCUUCUUCUACCCUCCCCCACCUCUUCCUCGACUCUCGCGUCCCUCGCUGCUCACUCCGUCUUCUAACCUCCAUCCAAUUUGAAUUCUCCCACUCCCUCCACAUCCUUCAUUCCAUCUUACUCUACAUGUAUCCAUGGCUUUCCCAUCACAUUCCUAUUUUUUGAUAUAUUUUUAUCUUCCAGUGAAAACCAAAUGAGAGCUCAUGAGGAGAUCAACAUGAUGCUUUGUUUUUGUGCCUUAAACUGCAAAAAUCACACAAGUAGUGGGUGGAAAAGUAGGAAAUCACUGCCUGUUAGCUCAGAGUGAAGAAUUACAUAUUAAAGGGCCCAUAUUUUAAAAAGUACGAUUUUCAUGUCUUUUAUAUUAUAAAGCAGGUUUAAGUGCUAUAAAAAUACUGUGAAAGUAUCGAAGCACUCAAUAUACGGAGAAAUACACACAGCCUGUGUUCAGCAUUUGAAACAAGCCGUUAGGAUUUUUGUCCAUUUGUGAUGUCACAAAUAUACAAUAUUUAGACCAUUACACGGUUUUAAAUGUAAACAUUCUGAAUGUGUCCCAGUAUAUUCCUGAUUGCAGUGUAAGUGAAUGACAUCAGCUGACAGGAAGUAAACAUGGACCCAAACUGUUGCCAGGCAACGCAAUUCUGUUGCAAUUCUGCCAAAAUGAGCUAAAAUGGAGCGUUUCAGACAGAGGGUGAAUACAGG